UACAGAGGUGGCAAGCGUUGUUCGGAAUUACUGGGCGUAAAGGGCGCGUAGGCGGUUUCGUAAGUCCCGUGUGAAAGCCCCCGGCUCAACUGGGGAAUUGCACGGGAAACUGCGAGGCUUGAGUUCGGGAGAGGGAAGCGGAAUUCCGGGUGUAGCGGUGAAAUGCGUAGAUAUCCGGAGGAACACCAGUGGCGAAAGCGGCCACCUGGACUGCACCUGACGCUGACACGCGAAAGCUAGGGGAGCGAACGGG
rnacentral:rRNA from 1 species